CAGUCGCCGCGGGAAUACGGAGGGGGCUAGCGUUGUUCGGAAUUACUGGGCGUAAAGCGCACGUAGGCGGCUUUGUAAGUCAGAGGUGAAAGCCCGGGGCUCAACCCCGGAAUUGCCUGUGAGACUGCAUCGCUUGAAUCCAGGAGAGGUGAGUGGAAUUCCGAGUGUAGAGGUGAAAUUCGUAGAUAUUCGGAAGAACACCAGUGGCGAAGGCGGCUCACUGGACUGGUAUUGACGCUGAGGUGCGAAAGCGUGGGGAGCAAACAGGAUUAGAUACCCCCGUAGUCCCUGUCUCUUAUAC
rnacentral:rRNA from 1 species